rnacentral:lncRNA from 1 species
AGAAUCUUCUAGGCCAUGAUCAUUGGUGCCUCUGUGGACAGCCUCUGUCUGCAGAUCAGAGCACCAUUGCCAGUUGCCAAGAGGAACUUUCUCUGAGGCUUCUGGAAGAGGAAUCCAUGCUGCUGUGGCUUUUGCUGCUGGUUCUAGGUCUCCCGGGGCCCAGGCUGCCAUGGGGGAAGUGGUGGAGCUUCACUGUGAGGCCCAGAGGGGCUCUCCCCCAAGCCUGUACCAGUUCUAUCAUGAGGAUGUCACCCUGCGGAGCAGCUCAGCAUCCUCUGGAGAAGGAACAUCCCACAACCUCUCUGCAGAACAUUCUGGAAAAUCCUGUGUCAGGCCAACAAUAGCCUAGGAGCCCAGCCCAGUGAGGCAGUGCUUUUCAAUGUCAUUCAGCUUGAGCCUUGGCUAUGGGCUCUCUUUCAAAAGAUAAACUCCAAGCAUGCCAGUGUAUGAGGAAGAGUAUUUCGUGAAGACUGGAUUUCCUCAGUGACUUACAGUGGAAACAGAGACAGGAGGUCAUGAAAAUUAGUUGCUAGCCUCCCACUAGCCUGAGAGGAGUGGGCUACACUCCAGGGCAUUGGACAAAUAACUGAACAUCACUUAACCAUUUCAAACUAAGGCAAAAUGCACUGGAACGCCUGCCCGAUUCCGCACUUCACACCCCUUCCUCUGGAGUAUCUUCAGGAUUCCAGCCUGAGUCCCUGACCUCUGAGCCUCACCCACAGAACACUCUCCUCAGAGGUCCCCUAGGACAAAGGCCAUGCCACCUUCUGGUUGCAGUGACUGGGGGACGCUGCUUGGUUUCCUGGCAACUACUGCUCUGUUUUUUACCUGUGGCUCCAGAGGAAGUCAGGACUCCUCUGCUGUCUAUUUAGAGGUGAAGAAAGAACAGCCCACAGCAGCCUCAGCUGAGCAGCAGUAAAAGGAACCUGUAGUUGGAGCUCUUCUUAAGAAGUCUGAAAAUCAGGAGUUCCCAUCGUGGCACGCGGAAACAAAUCCGACUAGGAACCAUGAGGUUGAGGGUUCGAUCCCUGGCCUUGCUCAGGGGGUUGGGGAUCCAGCGUUGCUGUGAGCUGUGGUGUAGGUCACAGACAUGGCUUGGAUCUGGCAUUGCUGUGGCUGUGGGGUAGGCUGACAGUUGUAGCUCCGAUUAGACCCCUAGCCUGGGACCCCGCAUAUGCUGCAGGUGCGGCCCUAAAAAGACAAAAAAAAAAAAGUCUGAAAAUCAGAUAAUAACAGAUCUUCAGACUUGGUAAUGGUAUUUAUUCUGGAGCUGAAUCUCAGCUUCUGCUUUCAAAUGGUGCAUUUGCUCCCCAAUUAACCACAGUAUCUGCCGCUUGGUAUUGUUUCCUUGAAUCUGAGCCAAGUGACAGCUGCCAUUUAGUCCCUCAAACAUCCAAUUAUUUACUCACAAUAGACUUAAGAAAAGAGUGCCUCUUUUACCCAUGUCUCUGGCAAAAGUAGGAAAA